rnacentral:rRNA from 1 species
UACGUAGGGUGCGAGCGUUAAUCGGAAUUACUGGGCGUAAAGCGUGCGUAGGCGGUUCGUUAUGUCUGCUGUGAAAGCCCCGGGCUUAACCAGGGAAUGGCAGUGGAAACUGGCGGGCUUGAGUGUGGCAGAGGGGGGUGGAAUUCCGCGUGUAGCAGUGAAAUGCGUAGAGAUGCGGAGGAACACCGAUGGCGAAGGCAGCCCCCUGGGCUGACACUGACGCUGAGGCACGAAAGCGUGGGGAGCAAACAGG